UGAAAUUUCAACCCCGGGGUUGAACUCAGCUCUGGGUUGAAAAUUUUGUCAUGUAAUCGCGCGUUUGAUUUUGAUAGUCAGAGUUUUGUAUUACAGACAGGGCUUAAAUUUCAACCCGGUAAACAGGGCUGAGUUCAACCCUGGGGUUGAAAAUGCU
rnacentral:miRNA from 1 species